ensembl:lncRNA
CGGCCGGUGACGGCCGGGAGCGCGGCCUGCGCCGUGCCCCGGGGGCGGGGACGGCCUUCUGCGCCGCUUUGCUGCUGGGUACGGGGCGGUUAUGCUCUCACUGCAACAGCUUUGAUAAUGACCACCUCGUGACUCAAUGGAAGGACUGAUGUUUCAAAAUCAAGGAUCUAGCUACAUAUCAAGUAAUUCUGGAAGGCGGAGGGCUUCAGGCUGUGGCGGCGAGCACCGGCCAGCCGCCCGGGCGGGGCGCGGAGGCGGCGGGCGCGGGGCCAGGCGGAGCGGGGCCGGCCGGCACCGAGCCUGAGGCGGGCUCGGGCCGUGCGGGCAGCGGCAGAGAGACAGAAGGCGCCGCGCUGCAGCCGGGGCAGGCGGGGCGCAGCCACGGCGGGGGAAGUCUCUUCUCACAUCCCCACGGUGACGCAGCAAGGACGGGAGCGAGGCGGUGCCGCCCCCUCAUUUCUCCUGCCAUGGCGGCGGCGCCGUCCGCGGGACACCGAGGUUGCCAUGGCAGCGACAGCGCCGAGGGCAGCAGCGCCACCGACGGCGGGAGUGCAACACUACAGCAGAAAUUUCAACAGCAUUUUUCCAACUUCUUACAAGUCAGAAAACGUAAAAAAAAAUAAAAAAGUGUAGCGGUAUCGAGUCAUUCUUCAAGAUGCAAGGAUGGAUGAACAUUAUGCAAAUCAAUGUUAUUUCUAAUAUGAUAUAGAUGGAAAUCACUGUAUAAAGACAGAAGUAUUAAUAAUGAUUUAACUACCAAAAAUGUCUCUAAAAACAAAGCAUUUGAGAGAUGUCAGAGAGAAUGUUGGUAUUGAUUGUUCUAAACUAUUUUAAAUAUUUCUUGUUAAGUUGAUCAUAUAAUGAGUUGUCUGAUUUUUGUGACAAAAAUUAUUAUUAAGGUAUUAAGAUAUCAUGGUAUUGGUAUGGUAUUUACAGUCAGUUUUUAUAUGUUUUAUUGUCUCUUUAGGUGAUUGAUUACGAGAUGUGUUUCUUCAGGAUCCUGUGUUUUUGAUUUUUUUAACUACUCAUGUGUUUUCUUUAUCCAGUCUUUUAUGCAGCUGCAACUCAUCUCCCUUUACAAAUUCAUUGUCCAGAUUUUGGUUCAAGAUUUCAGACUUCAAAUUUUCAGAUUUCUGAAGAAAGGGUUUGUUGUAUUUAGAGAAUUUUUGUCUUGAAAAUUUAGACAGGUUCAAUUAUUUGAUGGUUUGAUAAACUUUUAAUCAUAAUGUUUUUAUUCAUAACUGUUAUUUCUAAGACUUUUGUUUCACAAUGUGUUAAAAGAUAUCCUCCAAUUAGAGUUCGAGUUCUGGCCAAGCUCUGACUCUACUUAGAGGGUGUGAUUGACCCAGGUGUUUUCUGCAUCAAAAAGUAUUCAAGUCCUUUUGGCUUGACAAUUUGACCAUAUAGGACAGCUGAGCCUCAAAGGGAGUUUUGGAAGAGCAUGAUCCAAACAUGUUUUAUCCAAAUCUCUGUUAAGGUUUGUCAGCUGCUGCAGACUCGGGGAUGACAAUUUGAUAUUAUAGCACUUGGUAACUGUGAUUUUAUAUGUAAUGUUAAUUGUGUAUUAUCUGAUUGGUUUUUAUUUGUUGACAGUUUUUCUUUACUACAUAUAUUGU